rnacentral:rRNA from 1 species
UACGAAGGGUGCAAACGUUGCUCGGAAUUAUUGGGGCGUAAAGCGCACGUAGGCGGCUUAGCAAGUCGGAUGUGAAAUCCCUCGGCUCAACCAAGGAAGUGCAUCCGAAACUGCUGAGCUUGAGUACGAAAGAAGAUCGCGGAAUUCCCGGUGUAGAGGUGAAAUUCGUAGAUAUCGAGAGGAACACCUGCGGCGAAGGCGGGUUGCUGGGCUGAUACUGACGCUGAGGCGCGAAGACCAGGGGAGCAAACGGG